UGCGUAGGUGGCAGAUCAAGUCUGGAGUAAAAGGUAUGGGCUCAACCCGUACUUGCUCUGGAAACUGAUCAGCUAGAGAACAGAAGAGGACGGCGGAACUCCAUGUGUAGCGGUAAAAUGCGUAGAUAUAUGGAAGAACACCGGUGGCGAAGGCGGCCGUCUGGUCUGGAUUCUGACACUGAAGCACGAAAGCGUGGGGAGCAAAUA
rnacentral:rRNA from 1 species